AUGAAACUAUACAUGGUGUACCAAGCAAAGAACUACUACAAACAAGAACACAGGACAAGGCUUUAUGUGGUGCAAGUGGAUACUGAGAAAGAAGAUUACUCCUGCAUUUGUUGCAAGUUUGAAAAGGAUGGCAUUUUGUGCUCUCAUAUUCUAAAAGUCAUGUUGCACCUUGAGGUGGAUAAGAUACCAGACAAAUACAUAAUAGACAGGUGGAGGAAACAAGGCCAGAAAAUGAAUAAACCCAAGGCAAUUCCACUCAGAUUAGAUAAUGAUGAACUGAGAUACAAUGUCCUAGGCAUGAAGCUAGUGGAGCUUGGCUCAAACGCUUCAAAGAGUCAAAGGAAGUUUGAAUACCUGCUAUCAGAAAUGUUCAGGAUUCAACAACACUUAAUUGAUAUGGAUAGAGAAGGAGAAGAAGAGAUGGAUGGGCAAGGAGAACAAAUAUAG
rnacentral:rRNA from 1 species